CCAUCCGCCAUCUUGGGGAGGUCGUCUCUGGAGCAGGAGGAGGAGGAGUCCGCGGAGUGCCGCCGGGGCUCACUUCCAGACCUUUCAGCGUCGCUUGGGGCAACCGGUCCUGCCGCACGCCAGGGCUGGAAACUGCAUUUUAGUUAGCGUUCUCCUGUAGGCUAUAUGGUCUCCAAGUGUGGGAAUCGGAGGGGGGGAUAAUAAUAAUAGACUAAAUGGAGCUUGAGCAGAAGUGAGAAGACUGGGUGGUGGUUCUUUUUAAAAAUUGCAGAUUCAUCAGUUGACUAAGCCAUCUAUUAGGUUGGUAUCUUCAUGAUUCAAUCACUUCCCUGAAGCCCACCUCUGAAGCCUGCAGUGGAGACCAAGCUUUCAACACAAGAGCCUUUGGGGAACUUUUCAUAUACAAACCAUGGCUCUAAAAAAUUAUUGCUUCAGAGUUCCUGUCCAGGUAGUCAGGUCACUUCUUAAAAAAUCCAUUCUUCCAUUCUACAUGCACAUCUUCGACAAAUAUAAAGUGCUAAUUGUCAGUAUCUCACACUGAGUCAAUUCUUAGGUCAAUAUGGAACAGAAAAUGUAUCUACUUGACCUUUCAAUAUAAAGUAAUUUUUAAAAUCUUAUUUUUUAAAAACUGUAUUCAUGCAUCUCUGCAUGUGGGUAUAUGCACAUGAAUGUAGAUGCUUGCUGGAAAGGUGUGUGUCUAGUCCCUUAGAACUAGAGUUACAGGCAUAACUGCCUAAUGUGGAUAUUGGGAACUAACCUGGGGUUCUCUGCAGGAACAGUAUGUACUUUAAACCAUCUUGAAGUCAGAAGGGAUUUCAUGAUUUUGUAGAAUUUGAUGUUUUUUUUUAUAAAUUUAUUUUUAUUACAUUUAGUGUUUGUGUGUAAGCCAUAGGACAACUUUGAUGAGUUGGUGCUCUCUACCUACCAUAUGGAUGUAGGAGAUUAAACUUAGGUUUUUCAGGCUUGGAAGGAAGCUCCUUUAUCAGCUGAGCUAUUUUGCUGGCACUGCUUUUUAUUUUAUAGGAUUGAUCUCUUUGGCUCAGGCUUGGCUCAAGCUUGUGAUCCUCCUGCUUUAGCUUCCUGUUUGCUGGGAUUACAGGUGUGUGUCACCAAACCUGGCUGAUAUAUUUUUCCAUCUUCAAACACUGGAAGUCUCACUAUGCAGCCUACACAUGUGAUCCUUGUGCCUUAGUUCCUUGAUGGAUGACAGGCAAGGGACACCAUGCUUCAGCUCUACUGACACUGUUUUGACAAAAAGAACCAAAUCUUUUUCAGGAGAUUGUAUUUACUUAUAAAAAUACAACCAAAACAGAUGGCUUGCAAGACUGACCUUGAUGACAGAGCACUUUUUGUCACCUUUAUAUUUACUAUCUAACAGUUUGUCAUGAGAAGUUAAUAAUAUCCAAGAAUGAAGAAUCUUAAGUUAUAAUUAUAACACAUUAAGACACGAAACAAAAUUACAAAAGGAAAUUUAUUUCAAAAGCAUAAGGGAACAUUUACAUUUAAACAAGGGGAUAAACAGGUGUCUUGCAGAAGAAAAAAACAUAUUUAUGGCAUGAAGAUUUUCAUUCAAAUCUCUGAAGCAAAAAGAACACUAAGUUAUGCACUAUUGCCUAGGCAAGGGAAGGGGAGCAAAGAGAUGAGGGAUGAAUGCAGUGAGCUCUGCAUUAGACAUGAGGUCAAGUUAUUUCUGCUGAGUUUACAAAUACACUCAGACAACUGAAAGGAAAAAUUACACUAUGUUCAAAUUUAUAUUGCUGUAGUCCAAUUCAUUUUUGUUCUUGAGAUGGCUUUAGGCCAUGGCUGAUCUAUCUGAUGUCCAUACUAGAUGGCCACAGUUCUCAACUGGCAAUCCCAUGUUCCUAUGUCUGUUCAGAUUCCAAGGAAGCCUAGGUUCAGCUCAGUCUUGUGGAAUGUUCAGAGAUUAUUGCCAGCACUCCAUAGUUAAGUUGACCAACUUCUUGUGCUCACUUGUAUCAUUCUAGGCUUCUAGAAAUAUUUUCUACAUAAAUAUAUGCAGUAAUUCUCAUAAUGGGGUUUUGCUUUUUUUCUCAGUGUAGAAGUAAUGAUGAUGAUGAAGACACCUGUGCAGGAAUUGAAACCUCAAAAAACAACAACAAAAAAACCAAAAUAAAACAAAAAAAAAAAUAAACUUACUAGAAGUGACUUCUGAAUAUUUGAUUUGAAUAGCAAACUUGGGGAAGGAAGAUUAACUAUGGAACAAAAAUGUAUGACAUUCAAAUGAAGAACAAAGGGUUUGGGCUACUAAAAAUGCCCAUGACGAGAUACUCCACAAACCUCCCAUCUGUUGUUUUAAUCUAAAGACUACUGGCUAACUUAUACAAUAAUCUGAUUAAUAACCUGAGAAGUUAAAUUUUCAAAGUGGCAAAAGCAAACUCAGUGAGCAUCUCUUAUUUAAUGGUACUAUGUCAUCAAGUCAUUUUCCUGGGUAGCCCUGGUUAUUAAGUCUCCAAAUCCUAAAUUAACUAUCACAUCCUGUGGGAACCUGUAUGUACACCAGAUCUGGCUGUAUUUCACCAACAAGGGUCUUCAAAUUUGUCUCUGAAAAAACAGCCUUUGUUUUUAGUUUUAAACAAUAAUAAUCACGUUAAGUCUGACAGACUCAAAUCCUCCCUACUGGAGUAAAAACCUAGACACCAAGUCAGUGAGGGUUUUAGCCUCAAAAGGAUAAUCACUGUGUCAGAUGACCCAUUCCUAGAAUUUAAAUUAUUGAUUUGUUGUACACUCAAGUUCCAUAACAUGCAUAUACACACACACAACAUAUGCUUAUGUUUGUAUGUAUAUUAUGCACAUGUACUCCUAUUCAAACAAUAAGACCCUGUGUUCAAAAGGGGUAUUCUAAAAAUGGAGAAGAGUGAAGGCAGUAAUGCAAAGCAACUUACGGCCUCCUAAAAACUUAAUGUCAUUUGUAAUCGUAAGAAGCUGGUGUUUAACUUUUAUGAGUCUUAGUAGGAAUGCUACAACACUGCCUAGUAGCUUCAUUAGAAAUCCAGGAAAGAAAGCAAAACGUUAAGAAUGAUCUUUACUCUUCUCCAUGUACUGGUCAAAAACUUUUAACAGAAUGGGGGAGAAAAAUAAGUAACCUUUCAAAAGUGAUGAACUUUACCAGAUCACGAGCUAGACUGAAUUUUCCAUUAGACUCAGUUCUCAAUAACAAAUUAUGAAGAUGUUUAAAAGCAAGAUUCACAAGAUGAAGUCUGAUAAUGAGGAUAUUGCGAAAACAAGUCAAGGCUGCAGACAAAGCAUCCAAAAAUAUUGUUGUGGUUUUACCUUGGACACAACCAUGGUCUGUUACAAAAGUAGAUCAUACAUACAAAGGUAGAAAGAACAUUACGGUUUUCAGCUGAAGGCAGCAGUCCUUUUAAAGGGACAUCCCCGGCAAUCCAAUGAGUAGUAGAUUUAAACUCAUGACAAUGCUGAAGAAUGUGAUGUCGCACUCUAGUAGAGUCUUCCUCGACUACGAUUUCCUCGUGUUCCCCAACCUCGGCCUCCUCUACUUCCCCUGAAGGCUCCUCUCUGCUCUACGAAAAAACGAACAAUGGUUUAGGUCUUGCUCAGGACUUCAUGGUUCAGCAAACAGAAAUAUAGCUUGUAGGUCUGAAAAUAGCAGAAAAUAAAAGCUGAAGUGGUA